GACGAACGCUGGCGGCGCGCUUAACACAUGCAAGUCGAACGGAAAGGCCUGCUUUCCCUUGUGGAUUGCGGGUACUCGAGUGGCGAACGGGUGAGUAACACGUGAGUGAUCUGCCCCCAACUUGGGUAUAAGCCUGGGAAACUGGGUCUAAUUCCCGAUAGGACUGCAGGGUGGUGCCUGUGGUGGAAAACGAUUUUCUAGUGGUUGGGGAUGAGCUCGCGGCCUAUCAGCUUGUUGGUGGGGUAAUGGCCUACCAAGGCGGCGACGGGUAGCCGGCCUGAGAGCGGGGACGGGCACAUUGGGACUGAGAUAAGGCUCAGACUCGUACGGGAGGCAGCAGUGGGGAAUAAUGGACAAUGGGCGGAAGCCUGAUGCAGCGACGCCGCGUGGGAGAUGACGGCCUUCGGGUGGUAAACUCCUUUCGACCGCGAGGAAGCCACCUGGUUGGAAGGGUGGUGACGGUAGUGGUAGAAGAAGCACCGGCUAACUACGUG
rnacentral:rRNA from 1 species